rnacentral:rRNA from 1 species
CCUACGGGUGGCAGCAGUGGGGGAUAUUGCACAAUGGGGGAAACCCUGAUGCAGCGACGCCGCGUGUGGGAAGACGGUCCUCUGGAUUGUAAACCACUGUCCCCAGGGACGAAGAUGACGGUACCUGGGGAGGAAGCUCCGGCUAACUACGUGCCAGCAGCCGCGGUAAUACGUAGGGAGCGAGCGUUGUCCGGUUUUAUUGGGUUAAAGGGGUGCGCAGCCGGUCUGUAAAGUCAGCGGUCAAAGCCCGGGGCUCAACCCGGGCCCGCCGUUGAAACUGGCAGUCUCGAGUUGGAGAGAAGUAUGCGGAAUGCGCGGUGUAGCGGUGAAAUGCGUAGAUAUCGCGAAGAACUCCGAUUGCGAAGGCAGCAUGCCGGCUCCACACUGACGCUGAGGCACGAAAGCGUGGGUAUCGAACAGGAUUAGAUACCCGAGUAGUC